rnacentral:rRNA from 1 species
CACGUAGGGGGCGAGCGUUGUCCGGAAUUACUGGGCGUAAAGGGAGCGUAGGCGGCCUGUCAUGUCCUGCGUGAAAGUCGUCGGCUUAACCGGCGAAGGUCGUGGGAAACUGAUAGGCUUGAGUGCCGGAGAGGGUGGCGGAAUUCCCGGUGUAGCGGUGGAAUGCGUAGAUAUCGGGAGGAACACCAGUGGCGAAGGCGGCCACCUGGACGAUGACUGACGCUGAGGCUCGAAAGCUGGGGGAGCAAACAGGAUUAGAAACCCUUGUAGUCC